GACGAACGCUGGCGGCGUGCUUAACACGUGCAAGUCGAACGCUGAAGCUCAGCUUUUGUUGGGUGGAUGAGUGGCGAACGGGUGAGUAACACGUGAGUAACCUGCCCCCUUCUUUGGGAUAACGCCCGGAAACGGGUGCUAAUACUGGAUAUUCACUGGUCUUCGCAUGGGGGUUGGUGGAAAGGGUUUUUCUGGUGGGGGAUGGGCUCGCGGCCUAUCAGCUUGUUGGUGGGGUGAUGGCCUACCAAGGCUUUGACGGGUAGCCGGCCUGAGAGGGUGACCGGUCACAUUGGGACUGAGAUACGGCCCAGACUCCUACGGGAGGCGGCAGUGGGGAAUAUUGCACAAUGGGCGCAAGCCUGAUGCAGCGACGCCGCGUGAGGGAUGGAGGCCUUCGGGUUGUGAACCUCUUUCGCUCAUGGUCAAGCCGCAACAAUGGUUGUGGUAAGGGUAGUGGGUAAAGAAGCGCCGGCUAACUACGUG
rnacentral:rRNA from 1 species